rnacentral:lncRNA from 1 species
GAUGAGGGCUGUUGGUGUCACCCACACCUCCCCUUUUUCCUCCUCCCCACUCCCUGGUGACCUCCUCUCAUCUGGGCCAUGCAGUCUGUAGUGUCUCCUGUGACCAAGGCCAUCUUCGUGGCUUUGUUCCUCUUUGCCAUCCUGCUCAUCCUCUACGUGAUCCUCUGGUACAUCUGCAGAGACGUGGACAACGACUACAUCUGAGGUCCGCAGGCUGGAUGGCUGCUGUCUCCCGCACGAACAGAAUGGAAACUUCCCAUCACACUGCUUUCCAGUCCUUUGUGGUGGCUUUGAAACAACCCUGGAGGGAUAUGUGGAAGAAUCUUGUCCAUAUCUUUAACUCAAUACUGGCAGAGAGCCACAUAAAGCCUUUUUUUGAGGGGAACAAAUCAGGAAGGGAAAACAACAGUCAAAAAUGAAAGAGGUCUAAAGCUAAGUCUUUGCUGAUAGAGUCCCUAAUCUUUGCUGCCCAAAUCACCAACCCCACCUCCAGAUCAGCUCUUCAGCCGUCAAGGGGCACAACACUUGGGGAGAAGGAGCCUGCUAUCCCCAUUACCACCAACGCCAACAGCUUCUGAUAAGCAGGUAAGCCCAAGAGUCUCAAGAAUGGUAGUGUCCCACAGAGCACCAGCCUUACUUUGAGCAUCGUCCCUGAAGCCAUCAUCCAAGGAAGUAGCCCUUUGUACUACCUUCUCAUCUCUGCCUCUUAGAAUUUCUUCUUUUCUUCAACACUCAGUUCAAGCACUACCUUCUAUAUCAAGCCUUUCCUGUUCCCCUUGACUUCUAAUGCCCUGUCAAAAUUGCCUUGUAUUUAUUGGCAUAUAUAUUCCAUAAGUACUUAUUAAUAUACAUACUGUUUUUUUAACAUUUUUUUGAGCUCCAAUUCUCUCCCUCCACCCCC